rnacentral:rRNA from 1 species
UUUUGCUUGGAUUUCAUAUGGUUGAGGGUUGUAAGACUAUGCUAAAUAAGUUGCUUUUUAAUCUUUAUAUUUUAUAUGAAGUUUUAUUAAGCACAUGUUGUGUUAUCGGAUAAGUAGUUAUUCAUAAUUCUAAAAUUAAAGAUACAAAACCUCUAAUGAAUAAAAUCAGAGUAUUUAAUAUUACCAUAUUAGUAUAUUCUUUUUUUUAUUGAGGAAAGUCUAGCAUAAAAUAUAUUUAUGAAACUAGGAUUGCCUCUUUAAUGAAAGAACUUCUUAUAUUUAUUGUAAAGAAAUAGAUUUAUUUAUGGUUUUGAUACUAAGAAUGAGAUUUUAUCUUACAUUACUCCCCCAAAUCAAAUCCGAACUACA